rnacentral:lncRNA from 1 species
UACAAGAAUGGUAAAUUGCAUAAAUGUAAAGAGCAAGAAUUAAAUGUUAAUGGUUAAUGGUUAGUGUUAGUAGUUAGUUUGCCAUAAGGCAAAUUUAGCGCUAUGUUAAGCAAUCGUAAUUGGACUUAUGUAGAAGUCACAACUAUCUGAGGCCGGUCAAAAAUAAUGCAGGCAACAACACAAGUUAGAGGUCUUGAUUAGUGAGUCAAACUCCAACAACUUGCCAUGCCAAAAAGAAGAUGAGAAAUGAUCUUGUAUUGAUUUAGGUCCUUUGCAUGAUUUAGGAAGCAACCUAUCCUUAAUGCAAAGCCAUUCACUUGAUCCAUGAUCAAGAUGAAUUAGAUUUGAAUCAAGGAAGAUUAAACCUCCCUAAUCAAUGCUAACCACCAAUCUUUAACUCAUUGAUCAA